AUCGAGGAACAUGACUACCAAACCAAGUUUCGCAAUGUGGUGAAGUUCCUGAAUGAAGGGGACAAGGUGAAAUGCUCUGUUCGUUUCCGUGGUCGCGAAAUUACCCAUGCUAAUGUGGGUCAAAAAAUUCUCGAACGUGUGAAAACGGAAGUUGCUGAUCUUUGUACCGUGGAGCGCCAACCCAAGCUCGAAGGACGCAGCAUGAUUAUGAUAUUGGCUCCAAAGAGUCAAUGACAAAUUAAGGAGGAAGUUCAAUGCCAAAAAUGAAAACACAUAGCAGCCUUAAAGGCCGCUU
rnacentral:misc_RNA from 1 species